ACCAAUUCUGGGGGAUAAAUAUGUUGGUUCCUCUUGGUAUAAUGGCUAGGACGCUAGUGUUUGUGACUAUCCUGAUAUAUGGUUUUUCAGUGCCAUUUCAUCCCUGAAACACCACGUACAUUU